GGAUGUGAGAGUGGUCUGGCUGCAACAUCUCUCAUCCCAUUGAUUUCCAGCGUUGAUUUGGUUGGUCUGACUGGCUAGACAAAUGUCCCCAUUCUCUCUUACAACCCCACAGGCAUCCAUCUCAAGCUAUAUGUUCCAUCAAAGAGGAUAAGGUUUCCUUCCCCAUAGAGGAUUGUUGUUGGGUCAAAGGUAUGGGAGCAGCUGCACUUCCCUGCUGGAACACUAGUGUUCAAGGUCUGUUUGUAGAACGUAAGGUAAUCAAGAUUUGAAGACUCCAAACCCAUCCAAAUAAGGCCCUGCAUGUGGUGGUCUGAAUUUCUUU
rnacentral:snRNA from 1 species